ACCUGUAUGACAUACCAGAUACGAGAAAAUACCAGACGCUUCACAUUAAAAUAUCUCAAAAACGAAAGCCUAUUGUAACGAAGCUCAUUAAAAUUUUGUUACCCUAUAUGCAUACUACAACUUCCACCUAGUGCCAUUCCAAAAGUGAUUUCCACUACCGUGCACAUUCCAUGUAAGCUCCAAUUUUCCUUUUUCCAUAAAAUCAUGUUUUUUUAUUAUUACUUAUAUUAAAAUAAACAAUAAUUUGAUAGCGUAUGCAAAUUAUUUAAAAAAUAUUUUAUCGUCAAGUAUACACAAAAAUAAUUUUGGAGCACUACUGGUUUUUUGGGUAUAUAGAAUAGAAAAGGAAUUAUUUCUUUCUAAAGGUCAUUGUAUUUAUACCCACCGGCUGAUCUUUUAUGAUGGGACUAUUGGAAAUUGACAAAGUGUUGGAAUAACACCAUUAUUCGCUCCUAACAUAAAACCAAACAUUUCAUUCAAUUACAUAUAUACAAUUAUAUUCUCACAAGAUAUAUCUGGAAAUAUGUUUAAGACAUUGAUGGUGAAGUUGCAACUAAAUAAUUAUGGAGUAGACAAAUUGAAUAGAUACAUUAAAGAAAUUAACCAGCGUAGAUGAAAUACUAGGAGAAAUAACAGAUACGUACUCUGAAAACAGGGAUGCAAUUACCUUCUUGCAGGAUAUAUCUGGAAAUGUCCUUAUUAUUUACCAAAGGAUUUUCACUACAUCCCUUUAGUGUGGUUUUAAUUUUAAUAUUUCUGUACAGCGUGGUUCGUUUGAAUGAGUGUGUGAUUUUUGCACAAAAUAAUGUUCAUCUUUUUGAAUUAAUGUUCCUGUACAUUUGUUAGCAUGACGACCAGAACAACGGUAGAUCUUCAUGUACAUAGAUAUACACGUGGUCAUACUUAUUUGUACAAAUAGUAAUAAAUAAUUCAUAUUAACCAAA